rnacentral:rRNA from 1 species
CAGCAGCCGCGGGAAUACGUAGGGUGCAAGCGUUAAUCGGAAUUACUGGGCGUAAAGCGUGCGCAGGCGGUUAUAUAAGUCAGAUGUGAAAUCCCCGGGCUCAACCUGGGAACUGCAUUUGAGACUGUAUGGCUAGAGUGUGUCAGAGGGGGGUAGAAUUCCACGUGUAGCAGUGAAAUGCGUAGAUAUGUGGAGGAAUACCGAUGGUGAAGGCAGCCCCCUGGGAUAACACUGACGCUCAUGCACGAAAGCGUGGGGAGCAAACAGGAUUAGAUACCCCUGUAGUCCCUGUCUCUUAUAC